GGUGAAAGGCUUGCUGCCUGAAGAAGAGCUUGCGUCUGAUUAGCUAGUUGGUGGGGUAAGAGCCUACCAAGGCGACGAUCAGUAGCUGGUCUGAGAGGAUGAUCAGCCACACUGGGACUGAGACACGGCCCAGACUCCUACGGGAGGCAGCAGUGGGGAAUUUUCCGCAAUGGGCGAAAGCCUGACGGAGCAAUACCGCGUGAGGGAGGAAGGCUCUUGGGUUGUAAACCUCUUUUCUCAGGGAAGAAAAAAAUGACGGUACCUGAGGAAUAAGCAUCGGCUAACUCCGUGCCAGCAGCCGCGGUAAUACGGAGGAUGCAAGCGUUAUCCGGAAUGAUUGGGCGUAAAGGGUCCGCAGGUGGUAGUGUAAGUCUGCUGUUAAAGAGUCACGCUCAACGUGAUCAAAGCAGUGGAAACUACACAACUAGAGUACGGUAGGGGCAGAAGGAAUUCCUGGUGUAGCGGUGAAAUGCGUAGAUAUCAGGAAGAACACCGGUGG
rnacentral:rRNA from 1 species